GACGAACGCUGGCGGCGUGCUUAACACAUGCAAGUCGAACGAUGAAGAAGAGAAACGCGAACUUCGGUUCAAAUUUCACUUCGGAUUAGUGGCAGACGGGUGAGUAACGCGUGAGCAACCUACCUCUUACAAAGGGAUAGCCUCGGGAAACCGUGAUUAAUACCAUAUGACACAUUCAUAAGGCAUCUUAAGAAUGUUAAAGCUACGGCGGUAAGAGAUGGGCUCGCGUCCCAUUAGCUAGUUGGUGAGGUAACGGCCCACCAAGGCGACGAUGGGUAACCGGCCUGAGAGGGUGAACGGUCACAUUGGAACUGAGACACGGUCCAAACUCCUACGGGAGGCAGCAGUGGGGAAUAUUGCACAAUGGAGGGAACUCUGAUGCAGCGACGCCGCGUGAGCGAUGAAGGAAUUCGUUUCGUAAAGCUCUGUUCUAUGGGAAGAAAAGGACUGUACCAUAGGAGAAAGCCCCGGCUAAAUACGU
rnacentral:rRNA from 1 species